UGAAAUAUUUCACAUGCUUUGGAAAUUACUACAGCUGACGUUUGGAAAAGUAAGGAAAAAAAAAAAAAGAAACACUGCCGUGGGGCUUUCUUCCAAAAUAUAACAUCAUGCAUGGCCAAGAAAACACUCAGACAGCACUCAGAAAGCUGUGCCUCAGGCUGCAUCUUUGAAUUCCAUCGUUAACUACUGUCUUGCUAUUUACCAGCUGUUUCUGAAUUUGAAGUUUCACCUAAACUAUCAGGAAGGACAAAGAAUAGCACAGAAGGAUGCCUGACAAACAGUAGAACCUCCCCUUGGUCACUGGCAAAGAGGAGUCAAGCCAGCUUCCCUAGAGAAGAAUAAGGCAGGCCAGUGUAAUAGAGGCACUGCUGCAGAAAAAUAGAAAUGUACUGGAAGAGCCAAAAUUAUUUGUGAGAUGAAGUUGAGAUGUUCCAGAGUUUUGUCUCCUUCUGUCCUCAGACAUUUGGAUGUGAAGGGCUGCAAAGCAAUACUGGGCUGGCUAAACACAGAAAUCUGUGACUGCGAGAAAACUGCUUUGUGUAGCAUCAUCAAAUAUAUACCCAGGCAAACUUUCUUCUUCUCAGGGCUAUGAGAGAAAAGGAAUACCCUCUUUUGUUUGGCAGGUACUUCCCAGCUGUUAAAUAAUAACCCAGCACCAUCAGGCAACCACCUGUAAUGGCAGAGGCUGCCUUUGCCCUAUAAGCGGAAGAGACCAUUAACAACGGCAGAAAAUUAUUAACGUGACAAACUGAAUAGCAGGUGUAUGUGAACAUAUGUAGGGUGUCAUUUGCCAAAGGUAGCAAAAUCCCUACAGCCAGUCCUGGGGACCCUCCUCAUAACUUGACAAUGAAGGAGUGAGAGAAGUAAAUUCAAACUAAUGGGAAAACACCUACUAGAAGCAAGCUUCAGGAAAGGGACUUCUAGCUGUGUAUCCUAGAACUGAAAUUUUCACCUCCUAAACUUCAGGACAAUUCUUUGCUGAAUUGCCACUGCAGAUCAAGAGUAACAUUACAGGUGCUCAGUAAGGCAAUAGAGACACACACACUUUCUUUGCACCAAGGUUUAGUAUCUUUUCUUAGGCCUCUACAGUACAUUCACUUUAGUAGCCCAAGGGGACAGGUUAGUGGCCUAACUACCAAUUUUGCAAACAGUAUCUCAACUCCCCAGAACCACAGAGCAGCAGCUCAGAGCCCAACAGUACCUACAUGGCCCUUUGGUCUUCAGCAACAGCUGUACUACUUAAAUCCAGCUUACAAUGGAGGCUUCCUUCCAGUAGCACGGUCAAAGAUACUCAGAUGACUAGGGCACAGGUGUGGAGUUUUUUGAGAGACAGUUUCAGUUCUCGCCUCUGCUACAGACUUUUUUUAAUGUUGGAGAAACCCUUAGUUUCCAUAAUUAUUUCCAAAAUAGCCUUGCUAAACUGGACAUCUGAGUGCUCUGAUUUCCAGAGGCACCUGCACUUCUCAGGUGUCAAUAAUUCAUGUUACCUGCUCAAGGCACACUGCAUUCAGGCUGCUUAGAAAACCCAUUUGCCCUGGGAAUCAGCAGUGUCAGAAAGAAUCCAAGGAGCCUGAAAGAAAUAAUAACUGGCAGAAAAGAAGGCCAAGCCCUCACUGUAAGGGCAGGUGGGAUGGAUGGAAACCUAGGAUCUAACUACAGAUGUGUGUGUUGUGUGCUGCUGUAAGCUCUGUGUACCGCCUCGGUUAGCCUCUAAGGGUAUCAGCAAGGUCACCCCAGAGGUGGCUCCUAACCCAGCCAGUAUACUUUGGUUUUGAGGCUGCCGUGAGCAGCACCAUACACAACAGUGUCAAUGCAGCGUGUUAUUUUCAGUUCACCAUCAAUACAAUGAGGCUUACAAAUUUCACAGGAGUCUUACGACACCUAAAAAUAAAAUAGGCAUAUGAUAUUCAGAUGCUGCAAUAACAGAGUUAUCAAGUACUUCAUAUAGACUAUAAAAGCCAAGAUCCUACCUAUUAUAUACGGGCAUAUAGGACUUGCUCUAACUGUGUAGCCUUUGGCCAAGGUUUCCCCACAACACGUUUUGCUGUUUUGCUGAUGCCUCUUCAGAAGUGGCUGUAUUUGUAUUGUUUUCCUUCCCAUGCACUGGAUGCAAAGCAUUUAUAGGUUUGCAUUUAUUAGUAAGAUAUUAGCCAAAUAAUAGAAGCAUCCAUAGGUUUUACUGUGAACAUAAUCAUUUACUUGGAACAGCAGGUCACAAAACUAGUUACUUUAAAACUAAAAUCUUGUCUCUAACCCUCCUGUCUUUCACUCUACUGUAGAGCAAAAGUCAAAUACCCUUCAAGUAUGCUGCACAUUAUCCAAAUAACAAGUACUCUGAACAGCACAUGGUUUCCCUGAAAAACUACACAGAAGUACCACUAACCAUUUUAAAAAGGGUAGUCAAUAUAGCAUGCGUGUAAACUAAGGGACUGGUUUCAGCAUAAUAAAAUUAGAUGUGUGAUUUUGGACCUGCACUGUUCUCCCUGCCUUACUCUGCUCCCUCCCAGCUCUAUUUCACUUCCAGGCAUUCUACACAGCCCAUCCUGUUUACUCUGAUGAAACGUGAAGGGUCUGGAAGAGUUAUUUUCGGAUACUGUCUCAGGCUUUUGGGAUAUUGAUGUGAAACAUAGCUCCUUCAUGCACUGGGUUGUUUGUCUAUUCUUUUUCAAAUUAUAACUGUCCAAUUUAAUAUCAGUAGAGUGACCAUGUCCCCUCAUUUUAGUGAAGCAGUUCCUUUUACGGUUCAGUAUAUUCUGCUCUCAUGCAUGGGACAACACUGCAUCAGAUCAUGUCGUGGGAGACGUACUGGUCACUGGUGGCAGUGGCUGGCAGUGGUAGAUGAUGGCAGAGCUUUAUGCCUUUCGGCAGGGCUCCUCAAUCCAGCCGCACAACCUUUCUCUUAGCUCGUAAUCAGGAGCGUUGUGCACAGCCAGCCAUGUUUGGCAUGUGACAGCCCAGAGCAGGAGAGACCCUGCAACUCUGCAGUAAGGUACCAGUCUAGUGGCAGAGAGCUGGGAGCCAGGAGCCACCUGUACAAGAAAAUGUCACAGAUUGGCCAAGCCAUCUUUCUUCUGGAAACAUGAGAAGCAUCUUUCUCCCAGAAUGACUUCUUUCUGUCAGAAAAGUCAACUAGGAAAUAUCUUUGUUUGCCCAAGGUUAUUGCUAUAUGAAGUGACAUUUUCUGUACAUCUAUUAGGAAGAAACAAGAGAGCAAGAUGCAUGCAGUGCUCUGAACUUUAUCUGGUAUGAGGAAAAAAGUUUAACAGCACGGACACUAUGAGUCCCACUUAGAGUAAGGUUAAUAACAUUUACUAAACGUUAGUGACAAAUUUACUCCAUAACAGUAGGUUACUGUCAUCUAUGUCGAGAGACAGGAAUGUGUGUUGUCAGAAGCCGCCAGCAAAAACAACAGUUUGAGUUACAAAAAGAGCAGUAGAAGUAUUCAGCAGUUAGAAUGUCUUAGUCACUCUAACUGAAGUAAUUUUUAUACUGCCAUGAAAGGUUUUAGUGUAACAAUUUUUAAAUAUAGACACAUCUUCCAAGUGUUUUAGAAAUUCUUAUUUCAAGGAAAACAGUUAUCAGAUUGCAUAUAGGGCAAAUGGAACAAUAAGCAGUUCUAAUUAAUAUUCAGACACUUCUGGGGCCAUCACAUAGGCAUGUGUGGCUUAUUUAUAAAUACAUACAUACAAGGUAAUAGAUCCUUCUCUUUGAUCCAGAGAACAAAAACAUCAGUUUCACAGAAUCAUCAUUCCUAAACUGUUUUAUUUUGAUUUGUUACUGAGUUGCAUGCUAUACCUUAAUAAUGCAUGCUAUGAAGAGCCAAAUAAUUGCUUUCCUUUUCCUUCCUCUUAUUUGUACAAUUUUAAAUAUUAUUAACGUGAAAGGUUAUUUUUGAGAGAUACUUUUUGUAUUCAGCUCAUCCAAAUAAAUUAUUCAGUUCUAUACUUAUUUAGGGGAUAGAACAAGCUAUGGCAUGAGGAAAACUCCUCUGGCACAGCAAGGAAAUCACAUGAUCAGCUACAUCCAGAAAUAAAGCCAUGAUAAAGAUAUAGAACAUAUUAAUGAAAUUUUUCAUCAUAUGCUCCUAAUUUUACACAGGUAAUCCAAAAGUUGCAUAUGCUGUAAGCAAAGCACCUAGAAAGGUCAGAUUUAUUGCUUGCAAAAAAGGUGACAGAGAUCAAAAUUGUGCAGUUCAGUGUUUGAGAAACAAUAUGUAUAUCAUGGAAGGGAAGGCUGUGCCAGCUAAGUGAGUUUUAGCUUGGCUGUUGUUGGUGGGAAAAUCACUCAUGUCAACGUAGGCUGCUCCAUCUAACACUAGGCCAACCACUGUCUCUUUUGUGAAGACACUAACAAAAUAAAUGACAAGAGUCAGAAAACUAGAGACAGCUUCUCUUUUCAAUCUGGGCACUGUAAGAGAGGGAAGGAAAAAGACUGUGUGACCAUAAUUAUAGAGAGUCAUGUAAUUAAAAAUGACCAUCACAUCACAAACACAUUAAGGGAGGUAAACAAAGGUUGCACAGGCAAUGGAGGUUGUUGCAUUUGCUUACGUUGUACCAUCUGAUUUUGCAGUGUUAAUUGCAUUAUUUUACUAUAUAUAGUUUCUGUAAGUAUAUAUAUAAACACGGAGCUAAGACUAUGAUGCCUUUUAGUGAUUCUUUAAUUAUCCAUUUCUUCUUCUAAAAGAAUAUGGAGCGAAACUACAGUGCCAUUUUAGACAUAUUUUCUAAUUCAUGAAGUUUUAGAUACAUCAAAUUACUGUUUGUAAUAAUCUAGCACAUUAAUUCUUCCUCCCUCCACAUAUACACUACAGUAAAGAUACAACAUUUCUCUUCUAGCAGGUUUGCUUGCUGUAAUUUCUAAUGUUACUGACUGCAAUUACUGUCUGAUACUGAGUUAUACAAAGAUUUAUUGGUUUGAUUAGAGUUGUGUGAACUCUGUUUCUAGAGGGGCAUUUUAUUUGAAAAAUACAUCUGUUUUUUGCUGAUCAAAUAUCUGUAGACUGAACACACUUUAAGUGCUCACUGUUUGAAUUUAUCUAGCAAAUGAUUCAUAUUGCAGCAUACUAAAGAACAAUUAGCCCUACAAUCUCGCUACAAAUGGUUUCAGUUGAUAAUUUUCGCUGUUUGCCAAAGCCCAAUCCAAGACCCUUAUUUGCUUUUAUCCUCUAUGACCAAGGAAACCCUCUGACAUCCUAAGAACAUCCUCACACACACUUCUGAUGGGAACAACCCCCUCCCAGGAGCACUCAGGACUCUUCUUUAUUUUGCAGACAAAGUUUUGCUGCCAAAAAUAUUUAUGAGAAGGGGAUACAGCAAAGAAAAAGUGACUCCUUUGCUCCCCACAAGACAGAGCUUUCUUGGAUUAGCAGGAGUCCCUGAAGUUGCUCUGCCUCCAUGGCUCAAUCGGACGCUCUUGGCAAGUUUCUUCUGCCUGGCCUCCUUGAAAGAACAGUGCUCUUUUCUAUCCUCCGUGGAUCUACGGGCACGGAGAUUAAUUCAGAGCUUUUAUUCAAAGUCAAUUACUGCAGCAGCACAUAUCUAGCUGGGGGAGACCUCCCCUAUGCACUACUAAGAAAAAUACGCACACAGCACUGCAUUGCAUCCCAAAGCGCCCACAGCAUGGUUUUACCAGCAGCUGUCAUCCUGAGCUAUUAAAUUAUUUACAUUUGUUAGGGAGUUUUGUUCAGAUGCAUCUCUCUUCUGCUUCAAGAAUAGGCCAAAUCUCAUGUUCUGCUUGCUGCUAUAUACAGUUUACAGUGCUGUUUGCAAAGUAUGUCUCAGAAAGACUAAAGAUGUUUACAGUGCUUCAUACACAUUUGGACACAACAUUUUUGUGAUAUUCAUAUCUAGCAUUCAGAUCAUCGGAUCGCAUGGCCUUCUCUGAGCAGAAAAAGAGAAAUAAUUGCUAGUGAAAAUG